rnacentral:rRNA from 1 species
GAUGAACGCUAGCGGCAGGCUUAAUACAUGCAAGUCGAGGGGCAGCAGCUCUGUAGCAAUACAGAGGCUGGCGACCGGCAAACGGGUGCGGAACACGUACGCAACUUACCCAUAACUGAUGAAUAGCCCUCCGAAAGGAGGAUUAAUACAUCGUAACAUAAUGAGAUGGCAUCAUUUUAUUAUUAUAGCUCCGGCGGUUAUGGAUGGGCGUGCGGCUGAUUAGGUAGUUGGCGGAGUAAUAGCCCACCAAGCCAACGAUCAGUAACUGGUGUGAGAGCACGACCAGUCACACGGGCACUGAGACACGGGCCCGACUCCUACGGGAGGCAGCAGUAAGGAAUAUUGGUCAAUGGACGCAAGUCUGAACCAGCCAUGCCGCGUGAAGGAUGAAGGUCCUCUGGAUUGUAAACUUCUUUUAUAUGGGACGAAACCCUCGUUUUCUAACGGGACUGACGGUACCAUACGAAUAAGCACCGGCUAACUCCGUGCCA